ACAAAUGCCAGGGCCUAUAGCUCCUAGAUUGUGUUUGAUUUAUGUUGUUUAAAUGUUGUUAUUGGUAGCCUGUAAUUCUGUCUUUAAGCUACAAAAGGAAUCAGAGUCAUUGCAUGUGCAGAUUUGGAGAUAUUCGUGGUCAAACCACGUUGACGGCUUUGACCGGGUACUUUCUGGGCAAGCCUAGAAAGGGAAAUCAGUGUCUGACAAGAAGUUUGAGCCUUUAGAUCUGUCAGUCUGUUUGUUGUAUGAUGUCUUUAUUGCUUGUAGAUUGUA
rnacentral:lncRNA from 1 species